AUUGAACGCUGGCGGCAGGCCUAACACAUGCAAGUCGAACGGUAACAGGAAACAGCUUGCUGUUUCGCUGACGAGUGGCGGACGGGUGAGUAAUGUCUGGGAAACUGCCUGAUGGAGGGGGAUAACUACUGGAAACGGUAGCUAAUACCGCAUAACGUCGCAAGACCAAAGAGGGGGACCUUCGGGCCUCUUGCCAUCGGAUGUGCCCAGAUGGGAUUAGCUAGUAGGUGGGGUAACGGCUCACCUAGGCGAUGAUCCCUAGCUGGUCUGAGAGGAUGACCAGCCACACUGGAACUGAGACACGGUCCAGACUCCUACGGGAGGCAGCAGUGGGGAAUAUUGCACAAUGGGCGCAAGCCUGAUGCAGCCAUGCCGCGUGUAUGAAGAAGGCCUUCGGGUUGUAAAGUACUUUCAGCGGGGAGGAAGGGAGUAAAGUUAAUACCUUUACUCAUUGACGUUACCCGCAGAAGAAGCACCGGCUAACCCCGUG
rnacentral:rRNA from 1 species